rnacentral:rRNA from 1 species
UACAGAGGGUGCGAGCGUUGUCCGGAAUCACUGGGCGUAAAGGGCGCGUAGGUGGCGACCCAAGUCGAUGGUGAAAGCUCGCCGCUCAACGGCGAGUCGGCCAGCUGAUACUGGGUUGCUGGAGCACUGUAGAGGCAGGAUGGAAUUCCGGGUGUAGCGGUGGAAUGCGUAGAGAUCCGGAAGAACGACCGGUGGCGAAGGCGGUCUGCUGGGCCGGACCUGGACGCUGAGACGCGAAGGCGUGGGGAGCGAACAGG